AUAAUAAACUUCAGAACUUAGACACAUAUCGCACUAUAAAUAGAAACUGUUGGUAAUGAAAAGUUCAACGAUAAUUCAGUAAAUGUAAAAUAGUGUGUGCGACAAAAACGUACUUCGUUAAAUGAAUACAUAUCAAUCGAAAUUUGAAUUUAAUGUAAAUAAUAAAUAAACAUUAUACAUUUAACUUAACUAAAUUGAUGACAGAUUCGACUGUUUAUUGAAGAAUCUACUUCGGCACUAAACAUUUUAAAAAGUUACGUAAAAUACAUUUUUUUCGCGAAGACCCGGGUUAUUCCAGGUGUACUAAUUUUCCG